AUUGAACGCUGGCGGCAGGCUUAACACAUGCAAGUCGAGCGGAGACUUCGGUCUUAGCGGCGAACGGGUGAGUAAUACCUAGGAAUCUGCCUAUUAGUGGGGGAUAACGGCUCGAAAGGGUCGCUAAUACCGCAUACGUCCUACGGGAGAAAGUGGGGGAUCUUCGGACCUCACGCUAAUAGAUGAGCCUAGGCCGGAUUAGCUAGUUGGUAGGGUAAAGGCCUACCAAGGCGACGAUCCGUAGCUGGUCUGAGAGGAUGAUCAGCCACACUGGAACUGAGACACGGUCCAGACUCCUACGGGAGGCAGCAGUGGGGAAUAUUGGACAAUGGGGGGCAACCCUGAUCCAGCCAUGCCGCGUGUGUGAAGAAGGCC
rnacentral:rRNA from 1 species